rnacentral:lncRNA from 1 species
GGAGAAACGAGGGCAGCUCACGAGCUCUGACUUUGCUCAGGAGCGAAAUGGCCUUGUUUUUCACCUUCCCACCUGGCCCACUUAGGAGGAAAAGCUGCGGAAAAUUCGCUGCUCAGUUUACAGUCCCAAGAACAUGAAAACGCUCCUCUGCCAGCAUCAAAAAAAAGAAGAUGGAUGUUGUUUCUGGGAGAAGGAAGGAAUGUCGUACGGUGGCUCGGGCAGGAGACGCCUUAUUCUCCAGGAUGAUGAGGAGGGGGUCACCAGCAAGCUGCUCUAGGAGGCCAAAGGGCAGGAUGCCCAGCGGGAAGAACGCCCUUCACUGCUCUCUUGGGCACCAGAUCUUUUCGGCUUCCUCAAGGACUUUCCACCCAAAUAUCUUCUAGUGCCUCAAAUGACG